UUUUUGCAUCCUGGUGCAUGGUUGGCCAGAAGUACUCUUGACGGAGUGCCUUGAAGGCUAAAGUUCUUGCUCCCGAGUGAUUGCCGCAAAUUCCUUCAUGAAUCUCCCUUAGUAUAUAAUCGCCUCCUCAUCAUCCACACAUCGCAAAAGGGGCAAGGUGAACCCUCGGCGAUACAGCACUUCAUCUAGUAGCGUGUACCUCGCUGCUCGGCAUUUUAACUUUCUCGCUUGCCUUUUGUCCUUAGGCAAAACUCCGUCGCGGACAUACGCGCGAAUCGGGCCCAUCUAGGAUUCUCCAGUGCUUACUCUCAUCAUCUCCACUUCCUCCCCUAUGCUCGGCGAGGUCCUUACCUCUAGUGGGACCGACUUAGGUAAUUUCGGGUCUGCAAUUGCAGCCAUCCUAGCCCAGAUAUUCCUUCAGCUGCCCAAAUGCUUCCUCGUACUCUGAUGUCCAUUCCAUCUUUCUCCCUUUCUUUAUAAUUUGGAAGAAAGGGUGGCAUUUAUCUGUGGCCCGCGAGAUGCAUAUCCGCUCGGUAAUUCUUAUUCCGGGAUAUCUGCUUUACCUCCACCUCUUGGAAAAGUCCGACCAUCUGCUUCGCCUUCUUCAAAUAAAGGCCCAUCUUCUCUCCCCUUGCUUGGAACUGAUCAUUGAGCUGAUUACAUACCAAUUGGGAAUCUGCUCGGAUUUCUACCCUCUUUGCUUAUGAUCCAUCGGCUCUUUGGACUUUGUAAUCAUAUCAUCCACAUAUACCUAUGCUCUAACUGUUGCUCCUCCUGAUCUCCUUCCACUGGUUCAGCUCGGUCUACCAUAAAUUCUACCAGGGCUUGGGCCUUGAUUGCUCCUUGGGGCCUGUAGGACAGGUCAAAUUCGCUCAGCUCCACAGACCAUUUUACUAACCGACCAGACGCAUCUGGUUUUUGAAGCACUUACCGAAGAGGCUGGUCAGUCAUCACAACGAUCUGGUGGGCUUGGAAAUAUGGUCGGAGUUUGCGUGUUACCGUUAUCAGAGCCAGCGCCCACUUCUCCAUUAGUUUGAUCUAUUUUGGGUAGGGAAAAGCUGUCCUUUGGGCAUGCCUUAUUGAGGUCCGUGAAGUCCACACACAUUCUCCACUUUCCGUUGGCCUUUUUUACCAGGACUACAUUUGAAAUCCAUUCUGGGUACUUGGCUUCCCUUAUAAAUCCUGCUUUCAACAGCUUCUCCACCUCGGCGUUUAUGGCCUCGUACCUUUCCUGGUUGAAGCAUCUCCUCUUCUGUCUCACCGGCCUUGCCCCCUUCUUGAUUGCCAACUUGUGGCAAGCUACCCUGCGAUCGAUUCCGGGCAUAUCUUCAUGAGACCAGGCGAAUAUAUCCGCAUGAGACUGUAGGUAAUUUAUCAGCUCGCCUUUUACUGCCCCAACCAAUCCUGACCCGAUCUUCACUACUCUGCUCGGGUUGCUUUUGCUUACCGCAACUUCCUCCAGUUUCUCAACAGGCUCUUGGCGGCCCUUUUUAAAGUCUCCUCGAUUAUCUAGAGAGGUAACCUGCAGUGUCUCCUUGGCCGCUGUAGCAUAACAACUCCUUGCCAUCCUCUGGUCGCCUUUUACUACGCCNNNNNNNNNNNNNNNNNNNNNNNNNNNNNNNNNNNNNNNNNNNNNNNNNNNNNNNNNNNNNNNNNNNNNNNNNNNNNNNNNNNNNNNNNNNNNNNNNNNNNNNNNNNNNNNNNNNNNNNNNNNNNNNNNNNNNNNNNNNNNNNNNNNNNNNNNNNNNNNNNNNNNNNNNNNNNNNNNNNNNNNNNNNNNNNNNNNNNNNNNNNNNNNNNNNNNNNNNNNNNNNNNNNNNNNCCACCAUUGCCUUGAUCACCAAUGCAUCCUCAUGCGGAUAUAAGAUACCCUCUUCAUCGUCAUCUGUCCACAUAAUGGGAACUUGCCGCACUUUUGCCUUCUUGGUUGCCGGCAAAUUGAAAAGCACUUCUUUGCUAGUCAGGGCAUAUCACCCAUAGUUCUUUCGUGCUCUGUUCGAAUCCCCAGCCAAUGUUGGCCCCCCUGCUAUUACACGGAUAGUCGGCUGUUCAUGUUCCAGGCCCAUCUCAGCCCCUUCAUCCCGCGUAUACUGUGAUUCAGUGACGGGGGACAUUCCAUCUACAUAUUCGUCCAAAUAACGGUUUCUCACCAAAUCCUCCACCUGAAUUUUCAGGUCACGACAUUGGCUGAUAGUGUGACCAUGAGUGUCGUGGAAUUUGCAGAAUUUGCUCUUAUCCCGUCGGUGAGCCGGUUUUGUUAUAGGGGCUGGAGGGUAUAACAAGCCUCGUCCCUCGAUCCUCUCAUACAAUUCCUCCAUGGAGAUCUUUAAUGGAGUGUACUGUCUAUACGCUUUUUACUGCCCCAACCAAUCCUGACCCGAUCUUUACUACUCUGCUCGGGUUGCUUUUGCUUACCGCAACUUCUUCCAGUUUCUCAACAGGCUCUUGGCGGCCCUUUUUGGACUCUCCUCGAUUAUCUAGAGAAGUAACCUGUAGUGUCUCCUUGGCCGCUGUAGCAUAACAGCUCCUUGCCAUCCUCUGGUUGCCUUUUACUACGCCAACCACCCCAUUUACUCUGUAUUUCAGUGCCAAGUAAUGCGUGGAUACAACGCAUUGACUUAUCCUCAUGAAUGGUCUCCCCAGUAUCAUCUGGUAAGGGCUUCUUUCUUCUACCACAACAAAAUCCAACAUCAUUGUUCUUUCAAAUGGCUUCGUCCCCAUAGUAAUUGGGAGUUCGAUGAUCCCCAUGGGAGUUAACCGUCCCCCUCCAAAUCCCUUUAAGGAUGUAUUUGUCCGCUCCAACUUUAAAUCUGAAAUCCCCAUAUCAUCCAGGGCUGACUUAAAUAGAAUGUCAACUGAACUGCCCGUGUCCACUAGUAUUCGCCGCAAUUCUGUGCUAGCCACCACUGCUUUAAUCACCAAUGCAUCCUCAUGAGGAUACAAAAUACCCUCCUCGUCAUCCUCCGUCCACAUAAUGGGAACUUGCCGUACCUUCGCCUUCUUGGCUGCUGGCAAAUUUAGAAGCACCUCUUUGCCAGUUAUGGCGUAUCUCCCAUAGUUCUUCCGUGCUCUGUUCGAAUCCCCAGCCAAUGUUGGCCCCCCAGCUAUCACAUGGAUGGUCGGCUGUUCACCUCCCAGACCCCUCUGAACUUCUUCAUCCCGUGUAUACUGUGAUUCGAUGAUCGGGGACACCCCCUCUACAUACUCAUCCAAGUACCGGUUCCGUACUAAGUCCUCCACCUGAAUCUUUAGGUCACGACAUUGGUCGAUUGUGUGACCAUGAGUGUCGUGAAACUUGCAGAAUAUGUUCUUAUCCCGUCGAUGAGCCGGUUUUGUUAUAGGGGCUGGAGGGUACAGCAGGCCUCGUCCUUCGAUCCUCUCAUACAGUUCCUCCAUGGAGAUCUUCAAUGGAGUGUACUGUCUAUAUGUCAAGCUCUGGUCUAUCAGUUGAACUGCUCGGCUAUCCUGAAUGUCAUCUCGGGCUGGUAUAGUCGCUAGCUGGUCUGGUCUUCCUGCCUUGGAACCACUUGUAUGUAACGGUCUGGGAGCGUUGUGAUAAGGGCGGGCAGCCAUCUGCCUGAAUUCUCGUUGCCGCUCCGGGAAUGAAGUACGCGGAGGUUGGGCCCGGCUGUGUUGGAACUGUUGCGGUCUCAAAGCUACAGGGUAAGGGCGGGACCGAGCUGAUAUUCCGCCCAUAGCUGAGGAUUCCCCAGCUCGCUUUCCUGAUCCGCUCCCACUCGGGGUUCUCCUUUCCUUUCUUCUCAGCUCUUCCAGCUGUUCACUUUUUAUCCUCGCCGACUUUUCCUCUUCGAUUUCAAUGUCUCUCUUUGCCUGCUCAUACCCCGCUGCUGUACGGCCAAGGCGGAUGUACGGUACAGCAGAAACUUUUGAAUCGACAAGGACUGAGAAAAAAAGAUUUUUUCCAUUGUACGGAUACAGCUGUUGUUAUGUACACUAGCCAUGAAUUCGUGCUUUCUUUUCUGCAACCAUUUAAAUGGAUUAUGAUUGGACAAUUUAUUCCUUUUUAUCCCUACUUUAUUUUCAUUUCGUUUUUUCUCUUUUUUUCCCUUCAUUUAUUAAAUUUUUUUUUUUGUGCUCCCUUUCUUUUGCAUAAUAUUACUGUUUUGGAAUACCGGUAAUUGGUAGCCAGGUGAAGCGGCAAGGACUGAGAAUAUCUCCUUACGAAAGGUACGUGACACUGUUCUUAUGGAUUAACUAGUAUUAUUAUUCUUUAGUCAAUUAGAGAUGAAUCUACAAUUUUUUAUGUGUUUUAUAGUGUUAUGCAUGGAUACUUACAAUAAGACAUGAAGCUUAAUUUGGGAUAUAACAUGUGAUUCCUGUAGGCAAUAAGAGAAAAUUUAUGAUUCUACUCUCUUCACUUGCAUUUACAACUUCAUUUCAUAGAAAGCUUGAUAAUAUUAACUGAUUGUGUAAAGCGUUAAUGGCCUAAUAUAAUUUAUAAUUCCAUUCUUUGUCACUUGUUAGUGUCUAGCUAGCUACCCGCAAGAUUAAUUGACUGAUUAAUUUCGAUUUACCCUCCAAUAAACUGAUUAUCUUCAACAUAUAUUCUAAGCUAUUAUCUACCUCGGCUCACUCUUGAUUACUCUUCCCAAGGAUAAUGCCAUAAAGGUGCAGCUUUCAUCUUGGAACAAAAUGUUUUUAUUUAACUCAUCAAGAAGCUUGACUAAGCCAAAUUCUACUUUCUCUUCAUCUUCGUGCUUAUUGCUUACCAGAGAGCUAGCCAAUUCGGGUAUGAGCAUUAACUAAUUAAUAUCGUAUAUUUACAUUUGUUUAUUUAUUUAUGCCUUAUUACCCAUUCAUUAAUUGACUAGUAUAUAUAGUCAUCUACAUUGCACAAUUUUUCACGAAGACAAAUAAAAAUUUUCUCUCUUCAGAAUAGUUGGGAUCCGCAUAAUUUUUAAAUAAUACAUAUCGUUUCCACAUUUCCACGUGUAGUGGCUUAGCUACUAAUAAUAGUUCUAAUAUUUGAGACGCGGAGGUUGAGCCCGGUUGUGCUGGAACUGCUGUGAUCUCGGAGCUAUAGAGUAAGGGCGGGACCGAGCCGAUAUUCCGCCCAUCACUGAAGAUUCUCCAGCUCGUUUUCCCGACCUGUUCCCCGUCGGGGCCCUCCGUUCCUUCGCCUCAGCUCGUCCAGCUGUUCACUUUUUAUUCUUGCCGAGAGUAAGGGCGGGACCGAGCCGAUAUUCCGCCCAUCACUGAAGCUAGCACGGCUCGGUGAUAUCGUUUUACAAAAUCUCGAAGGGACUCAUGCUCCUCUUGUUUCAUCCCCAUCAGUUCCAUCAUGUCGUCCUCUGGGGCCACUGCCCCUCGGAACUGCUCGGCCAACUCCUGGCACAUCUGCUCAUACCCCUUUAUACUUCCUCGGGGCAGCUUGCGGUACCAUUCUCGGGCUCGUCCCUCUAAUGUCAACGGGAACACCCUGCACCUCUGAGCUGGUGUCAGCCCCUACACACUCGUCAUGUCGUUGAAACGCUCAAUGUGUACCAGCGGGUCACUUCGCCCGGAGUAUUUGAGGUCGGGGAAGCGGAAAUCUCUUGGGAUUAUGGUGCCCAUGAUCUCAGUUGAUAGUGGAGAUUCUUCAUCUAGCAUUAUCCUCCAGCUUGGGGGUUUCCUCUUACCCUGUAUCUCCUCUAUCACUUGCGCUAAUCUGCGCACCUCUCCUUCCAAUUCUACAGCACGGUCAGGGUCACAUGCAGCCAUAUGAUCUCGCUCCUGCUCGACAUUCUGCAACCGCUGUCUUAACUCUCCUUCAUCAGCACUGGUCCCUCGGCCAUCAGCCUCCGGUACUCGCCUGGGGCGAGGUUGGUUCCUCCCUUCAUCUACUUGCUCUCCAGGAACCCGACCAGUGCUCCUGUAGGGAUGCACCCCAUAAGGUUGGUCCGCCAGCGGAGGGAUUUCCUCGACUCUACACCUCCGGAGGUUGAGUUCUGCUCCAACAUCAUCUCUCCCCCCGGGGAUUUCGCAAUCCCUUCUCCGCUCAUCUCUCAGCUCAUUCAGUAUGGUAGCGAGAGUCUCCAUUUGCUUCUCCAUCCGUUCCAAUCGAUCUUGCAUCACCCUCUCUCGGGCUUCAUUUGCAAUUUCCCGAAGGGUGAUUGUCUCCCCCGAUUCGUUAUCCUCCCUCAAAGCGUCCUUCCUUGGCAAAUCCAUGUCUAAUCGUUCGCUGUUUCUCCGGUAACUACUAAUUCAGUGGUAACUUUUUAUCCAGAUCCCCACAGACGGCGCCAAAAUGUUGAUGCUAAAAUCUGCUCGCCCUUGGACCGACCAGAUUCUUUCACCAACGUUUGUAUUAUCGACUGUUUGUUCGAACCACUAAGGCUGGUAUCACCCUCCUUUCUCUCACUAGACCUGCGUUCACAAAAAUGGGUCAGAGACGCCGGUGGUUUUGCCGGCGUAAACCCUCUGAUGCCUAAGUUAGCACAAGGUAUUUACGGGAAAACAAUGUAAUUUGGAUUCAAGAAGUUUGUUAGAAAUUUGUAAGGAAAUGGCCUGGUUGCAAUUUGACAGCGUUUUCCCUCUCUCCAAUUUUUCUCUCCCUUUCUUCAUCGAUUUCUUCUUCUUUUAUAGCCGCUGUCCCCACGUUUCCGUUUGCCAUUCAUCCCACAUUUUUCGGGUAGUGGCAGCCCCUCAUAAGACUCUAACUGUUACAUUGUGGGCAAACGUGGAUCUCGCGUGUCCUUCAACGGUUCUGGGAAAAGCACAACUACCGCGAUUCUGUGGGAUCGUGUUCCCGCUUCUCUGGGGAUGAGUGUCGGCUCGGUAUAUACCUCUGGUCGGUAUGUUUCCCUGGUUGUAUUCAUCUCUGGUCGGCUCAUGUUAGCCCACGUGUUCUGCUCAUAUCACUUUGGCUGAAGCGAUCCGUGCCGGGGCGGAAAUAGUAGCAUGGCCGACCUGGUGCUUUUAUGUACUCAACAUAAUUAAUAAAUAAAAUUAAGCAAAGUAAAUUCUAAAAAUUCCAGACAUUUAACAUUCUACAAAAUAAAAAUAAUCCGAACCAUAUUCUAAAAUUAAAAUAUACAGUUAUCCAAACACUGAAUUAUAAAUUCUUAAGUGAUUUCUUUAAUACUCUUCAUCUUGUCUUUGUCACCCUGAAAACAAGAAUCCUACACAUAAAAAGUAAAUAAAAUUAGUUAACAAGAUAAAUUAAAAAUUAAACUUAAAUAAUUGAAAAAAAAUUACUUAGCUCUGUCUAGAAAAUUAAAAUGCAGCAAUGGACGUCAAAUGCUCAUGAACAAUCAUAUGCCACAAAAUACAAUCUCAGUUCUUUGACAUCAAAUAUGUUUGUCCUGAAUCUUGACAAAUGUGUAUCGAUUUUUAUGUAUUUGAAUUAAUACACAGAUUUCGCAAAACUAAAAUGAAACACAAUAUCUAUUUUUAUAUAUGAAUAUGGAAAUUAGAGAUUGGAAUUUUGCAAAUGUAAAGAGUUUCGAAGAGGGAUUAUGGAGCAAUUUGAGAUAUAUAACAAAGCAAUUAAUUAUCAAAAAGGGAAAAUUGAAAACACCCUAAUUAUUUUAAAACCAAUUGUAAAAUGCUUCAAAGCACCGGUCGUGCAUGCGGAUGCCACAAAUAAUGGGUCAAAUCAUGUGCAGAAGUAGAACAUGCAUGCUUGAGAAUUUUAGAUAACUGCAUAUUUCAAAUGCAAGAGAUAUAAAAAGGCACAUCAUUCGAUCGACAAAAAUAAACGCAAGCUAUCCUAGACUAAACAUAGCAAAAGAUUGAAAGCCUUCUGUAUCUAAUCACUCUCUCUGAUUAAUACAAAUGAGACAACAAAUUGAAUAAGAAAUAUCAAAAUAGAGCAAAAAUAAAAAUGCAAUAAGCUCUACAUCCUAAUCUGGAACUGAUCAUUAAUUUUUAGAAUUUAUAAUCACCAACAAAAAAAAUAAAAAAUAAAUCCAUAGUUCAAAAAUUAAAAAAAAAAAGGAUAGGAGCUUACCGUGAGUUAAUUGAGAGCGAGAUGGUGGAGACAAACGAAAUGGUUGCUAGCUAGCUAAGUUGUAGAGAAAACAAAACAAAAUUGUAGUCGGCUGUAGAGGGCAGAUAUGAAGGGAAGAGAGGGCUAAGAGAAGGGAAAGAAAGAGUGGGAUCGGAAAUGAUGAAGAACAAAAAUUAGGACCGGCUAUGCCCUAGUUUUUGUUCCACUUAUAUACUUUGUAUUAUUAUAGUUUUAAAUUAUUAUAUUAACCUGCAAGUUUCAAAAUUUUUUAGAUAAGUUUAAAGAUAAAAGUAUAAUUUAAUUAAACGAAUUUUAAACGAAUGAAUCGUAUUCAAUUUGUUUAUGACCCACUUAUUAAACGAAUCCUAAAUGAAUAAACGAAUCAAUGUCUUGAAACCCAGAUUCGAUUCGUUUAAUUAGCAAAACGAAUUGAAUUCACUCAUUUAUUAAGCGAAUUAAUUUUUUCAAAUCCAAACCUAUUUAAUUUGCAUCGAUUUGAAUCGAAUAAACGAAUCCUGACCCAGAUUGUUACUCCUAGUUUUGGAGAAUGUCUUUGUUCAGUAAAAAUUGCUCCGAAUGUCAUAAUUGUUUAUUUUAUAAAUGUUUAUGUUUGAAGUAGCACUGCGUCGAGGACAAAACAAAGUGGGCUAGAAAAAGUGCAAAAUAUAACGCAAAUCACCAAUGAACGAAAUUAAAUUUAUCCAUGCAAUGACUUUAAUAUAUAAAUCUUAGAUAUAAAAUUAUAAGAAUUGCAGAGCUUUAAAGCUCAAUGUUGCCGAUUUUACACACUAUUGGCAACUCUGUUGACCAAUUAUGAUAGUAUAUUGUGGGAAAAUAAAACCACUUUGAUGCAAUAUAAUCUUGAUCAUCUUUGCUCACGUUAUUAUAAUUUUCUUCUCACACAGGGAUUCCAAGGUGGAUAUGGAUUGAACAAUUUUUUGUAAAUGUAAUCAUUCUGCUUUGAAAAAUGACCCACUGAAAUGGAAUAAAAUGGAAAUUGACCAUAAUAGGUCAAUGCAAAAAAUAGUGCAUCCACACUUGAAUUGCAGAACUUUAUUGACUCCACAAAGACUGAUGUUUACUUCCAAUAUUCUUCUUGGAAAAUUUUAGCAUGUACCUACUCGCAUUCAUAUUUUCCAAGCAUAAAAAUUCCUGGAGUGAAGGACACGCAAAAUGUUCAUUCAAUAAAAUCACAGAGUCUUCAUUAAAUGCUCCGAACUUGCCCCACAGAAGAUGUGGACGUGGCGAAAUUCCACGUUUACAUGCACUGCACAUUUGCCAUAUCGGUGUCUUUCAUUAAUUCACGGAAUUGUGAGGUCAAUAACAAAACAGUCAGUGUUAGGAUUUUAUAUUUAUACAUAGUAAUCUGAGUUGCAUAUCUUUUCAGUAAAACAAAAGCAAUCCUGUUGCACAUUGCAGACAUGUGUGACAAAAAUUGUGCUUCAUUGGCACUUCUGUCUAUUUUACUGUUAUCAGGAGUUUUGCACUGCAAACCGUAAAAGCACUUGGUUCAGGUUGCAAAGAAGUUGAGAGGAAAGCACUUCUUCAGUUCAGACAAAACCUUGCGGACCCUUCAGGCCGGCUCUCGUCUUGGGUUGGAGAAGAUUGCUGUAGAUGGAGAGGAGUAAGCUGCAACAACAGAACUGCAAGUGUCAUCAAGCUCAAACUCAACAACCCAUUUCGAGACAGUUUUGACGCAUAUGAAGAUGAUGCAGGACACGAAUUGGGUGGUCCGAUAAGUCCAUCUCUGCUUCAGUUGAAAGAUUUGAAAUACUUGGACUUAAGCAUGAAUAAUUUUAAAGGGUUCAAAGUUCCAGAAUUCAUUGGAUCACUAAAGGAACUGAGAUAUCUCAAUCUGUCAGGCUCAUUUUUCGGUGGGACUAUUCCUCAAAGUCUUGGAAAUCUCUCAAAUUUGCUUU
rnacentral:lncRNA from 1 species